GCCACCACACCUCCUCUGUUAAAUCGUUUCAACGCUCCCUCGCCGGCCACCUCACCUCGAGCUCUGUUAGAUAUCUCGAAGCGCUUGGAAAUGGACUGUGCUGUGUUUCGCUUAACGUGGUGUUGUUUGUUCGGUUCUUUAGAUUUGUGUUUAGCAAUGCCUCGAGUUGUAGUUUAAAAUCCAAGGGAUUACAGAAGAGUGUAUUUGGUGCUUCAAUUCCAUGUGAAUCAAUAGUCUUACAAAACUGCAAUGCUCGUGGCAUUCAGCCUAUUAAAGCCACAGCAACUGAAAUCCCUCUUUCUUGUUAUAGGACUUUUUGUGUUUUAUGUAUCUACUUGCAGCAUUU